rnacentral:rRNA from 1 species
UGGGGAAUAUUGCACAAUGGGGGAAACCCUGAUGCAGCGACGCCGCGUGAGCGAAGAAGGCUUUCGAGUCGUAAAGCUCUGUCCUAUGAUAAGAUAAUGACGGUAUCAUAGGAGGAAGCCCUGGCUAAAUACGUGCCAGCAGCCGCGGUAAUACGUAUGGGGCGAGCGUUGUCCGGAAUUAUUGGGCGUAAAGGGUACGUAGGCGGUUUUUUAAGUCAGGUGUCAAAGCGUGGAGCUUAACUCCAUUAAGCACUUGAAACUGAAAGACUUGAGUGAAGGAGAGGAAAGUGGAAUUCCUAGUGUAGCGGUGAAAUGCGUAGAUAUUAGGAGGAAUACCGGUGGCGAAGGCGACUUUCUGGACUUUUACUGACGCUCAGGUACGAAAGCGUGGGGAGCAAACAGG